GCCUCCAAUAGCCCGACGGGGCGAAAAGCGGAAGCCUUCAUCGCCUUUGGUCGCCUCUUUUGAAGG
rnacentral:ncRNA from 1 species